UUCCUUGGUCACCGCAACAUUCGCACUUCAUUGACUAACGUACUCAAGAAAAAGGUACUAGUCCUUCCUUGCCAGGAGCUUAAUCUAUACAUCUUCCAGCUGAAACCGGGAGAAGCGACUCAGCUCAGCCUCUGAGCUUGGCGCAGCCUUGAAUGCAGUGUGGCACACCAGAGUUGUGCUAAAUAAAACACAGACUCAGCCCUGACUUUAACACAAGACCAGUGAGGCGUGGCAACUUGCCAGGGGUUUCAGGCACCUAGUGCUUGAGCUUAAGCGGUCGCUGAUGUGUUGAAGCCACGUGGGCGUGAUGGGAGGAACCGAUGAGAGCCCAGUGAGUGAAGAAGCUUCUCGGGGCAGCAGCAUUUGACAUCAACCUUUCAGGAAAAGAAGAUAACAUACUAAUGUAAUUAAGAGGCUGCUGUGGUGUGAUGCGAAGAGUAGAAGAAGUGAAGUCAGAAGACCAACUCUCCUCCCCUCUU